GGUUCUGUGGCUUAGUUGGUUGAAUCGCCGGCCUAGCGAAUACGGAGUCGUGGGUUUGAAUCCCACCAGAACGA
rfam:Aedes albopictus isolate Foshan contig962, whole genome shotgun sequence.